GAGGGAUCCAGCUUGGAUAUCCAUGGAUCAGGAAGCGCACCAAGACUGUAUUGAAAAUGAAUCCUCUUCCCCAAAUGUGUCUGGCACAGAAAGACACCACACCAGCCUUCUCGAGCUGCAAAGCCUCUUGGCAGUCUGUUAACUUGGCCAACUCAGAUGCCCGUUACCUUUAACACAGAUGGCACAAUCUCUGAUGGGUGCUUUGCGUUUGUCUGCAAAACCAGGCACUCUUUAAGAUGCUCCGAGCUCCUUAGAAUGACCAUUCGCUUUAAAAAANNNNNNNNNNAAAAAAAAAAAAAAAAAAAAAAGGGCGAUUGCCUGCUUAUCAGGACACAUUUCCUUUAUGCAGUGAGGACGGAGCCAGGCAGAACGAACCGUAUCCCUUAUUUUAACCCCUGGGGUAACUUAUUACAGCGCCAUUUUAAUCGGCGUGCUCUUUUAAUACUGAUAAUGCCAAUAGCUUGAGCAAAUAAACUGCAAGUUUCCUACGGUUCAUUCUUUGGGAAAAGGUCGUUCACCCCGUGCUGUAAAUGGACCCACUAAAGAGGUGUGUUUUUUUUUCAGGGACCGGAGCAAACCUCACCUGUUGGACUAGCCUUCACGCAUGACUCAGGAGCAGAGUGAAUCACAGCCCGGAGCACUUGGAGAGGAGGAGGACGGGCAGCCUUGGUCACCGUAGGAAGGCGCUGACGGGUGCUUGGGGCAGACGUCUUCAGACGGCAGGGCUCGCAGAAGAAAUGUAGCUGCCCCUCUCCUGGGAACUGCGUGUUUCUGGCAUCCGCACACUGAACGAACCCUGGUGAAGCCGUGAUCCAUCCGAGCUGCACGUACAAAUAUGAAGAUACUCUGGAUAAUCCCCUUUUUCCUGCUGCAAGACACGGAAGCUUUUCUGAUGAAGAAUGCCAAAAUCAAGCUGUGUUUACAAGCCAGCCCUACAGACGAGAGUUUACAGCUGGAGGACUGUGACCCAGACUCAGAUUUGCAGCAGUGGUCUUGGCAGGGUGAUUCCUUGAAGAAUCGCGGCAUGCAGAGCUGCCUCUCUGUGCUGGGGGACAGCGGGGUGCAGACAAGCCCCUGUGACAACACAGCUUCCACGGGCUGGGACUGCUCCAACUCAUUGCUCUCCCCUCUGGGCAGCAGCCAGAGCUACCUGGUGGCGAGCAGGAAAGGAGUUAGCCUCGAUAAUGUGAGAGGCCUCAAGGCUCAGUGGCAGCAAGGUGUCACGGAGGAGAAUGUCUGCAAGGAGAAAGCAGGUGAGUGCUGCCCACCAGGUCCCGGUGGUGCACGUGCCAGGGAAGGUGGGAGGGCAGAGUCAGCGUCUUUCAUUGCAGUGAAAGACCUCUGUAUCUCUCUGUUCUUCUCCUCCACAGCCAGGGCGGUGCAAGACAGCUACUUCUACGCAGCCCUCACCAGCACGCAGGUGUACGACCAUACAGCAUACAACUCCACCCUGGUGGCGGGCAUGGAUCCAGAAGAGCUGAACAAUCUGCUGUGGUUCUUCCGCACAGAAGACCCAUCAUCUUGGAAUUACUCCGUCCUCGCGCUUUCCUUCGUGGCCACGAUUUUGGGUCUUGUCCUCCUGGGCAUUAACAUUACACGAAACAGGUGAGUGAGGAAAAUUCGGGUGUGGUGGUGCACUAAGGACCUCAAACAGAUGACAUGGGGGUUGGCUGGGCAGGAACAAGCACUGAGGGAUGGAGAAAAGAGCAAAGACAAACUUCCUUUGACCCCUGCUUCACCGUAAAACCUUCCCUACCUUCCUGCUCUCCUCGUGUGCCACUCAGAACAAGCACCUUCACUUCUCUGUGCCAUGGAUCCUCACCAAUAAAGCAUGUGCAAAAGCACUGGCCAGCCCAAGAGAGGUUUUGGGAGGAAAACGCCACAAAAUGUGUGUAUUUGGGGUGCCCUCCCAUAAAUAUAGGGGCACGCAGGACUGAAGCAGAACUCCCCAGCCAUCUGCGAUCCCACAGUGCUUCCCUGGGCCAUCCUGCAGCACAGUAGCCCUGCAGCUGAGGAGUAACUUGCUGCCUUCUGGAGCGAGAAAACACACGAGGGGCCGAGCUUUCACCCUGAGAUAAGCCUAAAAGAGAUGCUGCAGG
rnacentral:lncRNA from 1 species